AUUGAACGCUGGCGGCAUGCUUUACACAUGCAAGUCGAACGGUAACAGGCCGCAAGGUGCUGACGAGUGGCGAACGGGUGAGUAAUGCAUCGGAACGUGCCCAGUCGUGGGGGAUAACGCAGCGAAAGCUGUGCUAAUACCGCAUACGAUCUGUGGAUGAAAGCGGGGGACCUUCGGGCCUCGCGCGAUUGGAGCGGCCGAUGUCAGAUUAGGUAGUUGGUGGGGUAAAGGCUCACCAAGCCGACGAUCUGUAGCUGGUCUGAGAGGACGACCAGCCACACUGGGACUGAGACACGGCCCAGACUCCUACGGGAGGCAGCAGUGGGGAAUUUUGGACAAUGGGCGCAAGCCUGAUCCAGCAAUGCCGCGUGCAGGAAGAAGGCCUUCGGGUUGUAAUCUGCUUUUGUACGGAGCGAAAAGGCUCCCUCUAAUACAGGGGGCUCAUGACGGUACCGUAAGAAUAAGCACCGGCUAACUACGUGCCAGCCGCCGCCGUAACAC
rnacentral:rRNA from 1 species